GAUGAACGCUGGCGGCGUGCCUAAUACAUGCAAGUCGAGCGAACGGACGAGAAGCUUGCUUCUCUGAUGUUAGCGGCGGACGGGUGAGUAACACGUGGAUAACCUACCUAUAAGACUGGGAUAACUUCGGGAAACCGGAGCUAAUACCGGAUGAUAUUUUGAACCGCAUGGUUCAAAAGUGAAAGACGGUCUUGCUGUCACUUAUAGAUGGAUCCGCGCGGCAUUAGCUAGUUGGUAAGGUAAUGGCUUACCAAGGCAACGAAGCAUAGCCGACCUGAGAGGGGGAUCGGCCACACGGGAACGGGGACACGGUCAAGACGCCUACGGGAGGGAGCAGUAGGGAACCGGCCGCAAUGGGCGAAAGCAUGACGGAGCAACGGCGCGUGAGUGAUGAAGGUCUUGGGAUCGUAAAACUCUGUUAUUAGGGAAGAACAUAUGUGCAAGGAACUGUGCACAGCUUGACGGUACCUAAUCAGAAAGCCACGGCUAACUACGUG
rnacentral:rRNA from 1 species